AUGAACGCUAGCGGCAGGCUUAACACAUGCAAGUCGAGGGGUAUAGUUCUUCGGAACUAGAGACCGGCGCACGGGUGCGUAACGCGUAUGCAAUCUACCUUUUACAGAGGGAUAGCCCAGAGAAAUUUGGAUUAAUACCUCAUAGUAUUAUGAAAUGGCAUCAUUUUAUAAUUAAAGUCACAACGGUAAAAGAUGAGCAUGCGUCCCAUUAGCUAGUUGGUAAGGUAACGGCUUACCAAGGCUACGAUGGGUAGGGGUCCUGAGAGGGAGAUCCCCCACACUGGUACUGAGACACGGACCAGACUCCUACGGGAGGCAGCAGUGAGGAAUAUUGGACAAUGGGCGCAAGCCUGAUCCAGCCAUGCCGCGUGCAGGAUGACGGUCCUAUGGAUUGUAAACUGCUUUUAUACGAGAAGAAACACUACUUCGUGAAGUAGCUUGACGGUAUCGUAAGAAUAAGGAUCGGCUAACUCCGU
rnacentral:rRNA from 1 species